CUCUCCUCCGUCCUCCGUGCUCCGCCUUGGACCCCCGCCGCCUCCAGCAAUGCUUACGUCGCGCGCUCGCUACCUUUACUCCUAUUCCGCUCGUCGCGAACCUAGGCUUUGGGCGAUGGAGGCCGCCGCCGCCGUGUCUGUCUGGGAGCGAGGCCCCCUCGGUCUCGCCGUCCGCAGCACCGCCUCGCACAUCAAAACCCCAAUCAUAUCAAACCACCGCGUCUCUCCCCCAUCUCGUUCGAAAACUUUUUCCGUCCCUCCGGCCCCCUCCCUCGCGGGAGCUCGUGUACUGGCCACGACCGAGCCGCCCCUUCGCCGGAGUGGACGACGCGGCGGAGGGGAAGCAGUGGGAGAUCCUGGUCUGCGUCCCGCGUGUGGUCCCUGCCGACGCGGGUUACAUUACAGGGGCUAUGAAGCUCUGCUGCCGAACCAACUCCCCGGCGACGUGGUCUACUUCUUCCUGCGGCCCCGAAUCUUCGGCGUCAACGUGAGGACGAGCAAGUUCAUCCACCGGAAGUUAUUCAUGAUGAACAGCACGCCGAGCCGUCACCACUCUAAUCCGUCCUUGGGAGCUCCUCACUGACAAAGGAGCUUUUCGGUGGUGCUGAUCGCGACCAAGCUGCGCCCUCCAAUGCGGACGCUGCCUUUGUCGUGGGCACCGGCACCUCAAUAGGCGCGUCUUUGGCCAAGGCCCUGUGUAACCCUGCGUUUUAUUAGUUCUGGCUUUGUAAUUAUUUGUUUACCUUGAGAAUGUCACUUCUUCUUUUGAUUUGGUCUUAUUAUAGAGAUCACAUUAGCUGAGCAUAAUACCCUCCGUGUGCGAAUUAGGUAUUAUGAUCCUUUCCGAACCAAGGGCGUCGACAGGACCAUGUUCAACAUACAGCAGCGGGAAAGGGAAAGAGAAGCAAGAGUUGGAGGUAGUUCGCAAGAGGGCGAAGAGACCUGUCGCUUUGACCGGCUUCACGGGUGAGAGGGGGGAAGGUUCUGGAAGCAUGGCUAAAUGUAGUAAAGGAAGGGAAGCUUGCACCCCCGGUACGGAUGUCGUGAUGUCUCACGCAGGUCAACCUGCGAUAGGUUCAUAUUGUGAAGGUUUGGCGGAUGGGCAGCGAAAGGGAUCCGAGGCUGAUAAUUCACCUUCACCGAACUUCGACGCCACCCCAUCAAUGCUGAGAUAUCGGACUAGUCGUCUGGGAUCGUUUGACAGUGGUAAUAUAUAUGAUGGUUCUACAGGGAACAAAUAGCAGGGCACAGAUCGGUUCGGGUUGGGUCUCAAUCGGGAGGCCGGUGGAGAUGCUGCAGCGGGGGGCUUGGGGAGUGUUCGUGCUGGAUGCGACGAGACAUUGUCAGGAGCCGACUUGCCUACUAUGGCUGAACUUGGAGCCAACCUCGGACCGCAGACGAGUGUAGGUACUCCGUCGGGCGACUUGGGGGCUGUCAAUGAUGGAAACGAUGAGACAUGUGCAGAUACAACGGCGGGGAGGACUUGCUCUGGUUUGCGAGGAGUGGCGCGUCAUGUGAAGAUGUGCCGAGAAGAGACGAUGGAACCCGAGAAUCUGAGGGAGUCGAUCCAGUGGACGAUUUUUACGACUACGUCCAGAGUUGUAUUGCACCUGAUCUGGAACGUAAUUUAAUACUAUAAACGGGGUAGCGAUUUGGCUGUCGGACAAUAGGCAAUGGUUUAUUGUAGUUUUU